UUCAACUUCAUGUGCCUUGGCAAGCUAUAAAGUUAAAUACUCUAUAUAUUUCUUUUGUCUUUUGUUCUCAUCCUCCAACUUGCUUAUUUCCAACGUCUGCUGAUGUAUCUUUGCAUUUGCUUCUUCAAUUGCAAUCGAGGACAUCUUUGCAUUCUCCUGAAGCUUUCGAUUUUGGUUGUGGAGUUCAAUGAUUAGAACAAUGAGAUCCUUUGUCAGGACCCACCCCGAAUUUCACCCUAAAACCCGAAGUAAAUCCUGCGGGGACCACCUCCAAGGAAAAUUUACCGAAAAAAAUUCGGCAUAACCUCCCUUGAAAAUGGACAACCCUUCCUAAUAAUACCUGCAUACACUUCAAAAGAAUCCAUUUAAUAUCCUCUACUCCUGGAGCCUUCGUGCUCCCCAAAUCACAACACCACCCAAAAUUUACUAAUCUAAACAAAUCUCAUAUCCAACCAUUUAUAGGUUCAGAGCAACUCUAACAAGAAGAAAGGAAACAAAAUAAAUUAACAAGCGGAAGCUAUAUGAUAACUAUGCCUCAUCUCCAUGUACGCCCGACCUUGACUAAGCUAACCUGCAAGCUGGGCAUUUUUAAAACGAAAGGCCCAGGGGAAAACACUUAACAACGUUAGAGUGAGUUGACAAAAAUAAAUUAAUAAAAAUAUUUAUGCUUCCCCAUUUCAAUUUCCAAAGAAAAUCGAAUGCAUGCUGCAAGCAAUAAAACUUUUAUAUCAUAAAUGUCGAGCCUCUCAGGCUCUAUAAUAUAUGUAUGUAUUUACACACGUCCAUACUCCCUAUAUAAAUUCAUGGGUCUAUAUAAGGCUACUACGCUCGCGUCCAAAGCUCACGUCACGCCUUAAUGCGGUGCUACACUACGCCAUUAAGGUGGACAGACAGGUGUAUAAAUAUGUGCCCAUACCCCCUAUAUGAAUUAAACACUCAUAUAGGGCUACUACACUCGCGUCCAACGCUCACGUCACACCAUAAUGCGGCUAUAUGCUACGCCAUUAAAGUGGACAGACACAUAGGGCUAGCUAGCAUUUUUAUACAUACUCUCCUCAUAAAUACAUAUUUAUAUUUACCGAAAAUCCCAUUUUCGGUAACUCUCCAAGAGAAAUAAAAUCGUCAAAAUAAAAUGACGUCAAAAUGCUCCACAACAUUAAUUGUUCAUCUAUGAACUAUAGCAUGCAUUUUAUUUAAAACAAAAGUCCACUCACAACUCUAGGCAUAAGCCCGACGAAAUCCAAAUCGCCACUCCAGAGAGGUUUCCUCGAACCCUAGCACAAAUAUAAAAUUAAUGUCCCAACUAAAAAUCCAAUAUUUAAACAAAAUAGGAAAAAUUAACCGAGAGCCAUACUCACGCUCAUUAUUACCUAACUUCGAUACGGUCCACACCUCAACAAUAAAACCAGCAACCUUAAUUACACCCUUCCACAGAUUAUACGACUUUAAUCCAACGGCCGGAUUCUAUCUUAUUAAUCCGCCAAAAUUACCAAACUUCGGAGAUUCACAAACCUAACCAAAACUCAUCCAAAAAUUCCAUAAUUUACAUCAAUAUACUCCCCUUAAUAUUCCACAUUUAAAACUAUACAAAACUCCCAAACAGCGGCGGCCGGAGGCCGAUUCCGGCGACCUCCAAUUCCUAUGAAAAUUUAACAGCAUCUUCCUCUCAACAUCCCAAACAACUUUCAUAACUAUCACUAAGUCCAAUUUCAAGCCUAAAUAGAGCAAUCGAAACCAAACAUAUCAAGAAAACCCUAGGAAAUUCAAACACCCGAUUCUCCUUACCUAGCUCGAGUUAGGAUGAAUCCUUUUAGGGGUUUGCUGCUGGAAGAGAGAGCGUCCAAAUGAUACCAACAGCUCCGGCUAUGGUGGCCGGAAAAGGGAUUUUCCGGCGAAAACCCCGCCACGCACGCACAGCAGCGGCUUUUCGGCAUGAUUUCUCCUUCACGGUGGCGCGACACGGGCUACCACCUAUCUAAACUUGUAGAGGAUGCUCCAAGCUUCAAAUCGACACCAAGCACGCCUCCUAUCUCGGCCGGACGACGGCGGACGGCGGCUGGAAAGUUUCCAGGUCGGGAGAGCUCGGGGAUGAGGCCGGGAGGGAGAGAAGAGAAAGGGAAAAGAGAGGGCUGGGCUUUGACCACCUCUUGGCCCGGUCCAACACUCUUAUACAACCCAAAUCCAAAAUAAAACACCCCGAAAAAAUAAUACCCAAAUAAAAAUUACUUUUUACUAGGUAAAAUUUACCAUUUUUACCAUCGCCGUAAUUUCCUCCUACGAAUAAUCCUCCGCACAUAACCGUCCCCGAAACCCCUCUAGGGACCAAUUAAGCUAUUACCUCGAUGACGGAGACAGUAAAAUUUUUAUUAUAACCAAGCUAGUAAAUAAGGUAAAAAAUAUAAGGGUAGGGAUGUGACAUCCUUUUCAGCCACAUCUUCUGUCGCUAUAUCUUUUAGGAUAUCUAUUGUUGCUCUAGGAACUUUUUCCUAUGGUUUCUCUUGGCUUUUUUGGGGAACCUGCGUCCAC
rnacentral:lncRNA from 1 species